GACAGAGGUGCCGAGCGUUAGGCGGAAUCACUGGGCUUAAAGCGUGUGUAGGCGGAUGGGUAAGUACCUUGUGAAAUCCCACGGCUCAACCGUGGAACUGCUCGGUAUACUGCUCGUCUUGAGCCAACUAGGGGCGACCGGAACAAACGGUGGAGCGGUGAAAUGCGUAGAUAUCGUUUGGAACGCCGAUGGUGAAAACAGGUCGCUGGGGUUGUGCUGGCGCUGAGACACGAAAGCCAGGGGAGCGAACGGG
rnacentral:rRNA from 1 species